GUCUUCGCAGGUCUUCGUGACUGAGGAGUGAGGACGAAAUAUUUGCCACAUGUUUCCGAGACGCUGUCCAAAUUCAUUACGGAAUUGCGGUUUCGAUCUAAGUUUUCAGCCAUGAAAUGUAAUUGGCAAUCUGGCAUAUAAUUUCACUUCGUCAAAUAAUGUGACGUUGGUCGAAACUGUUGUUCAUUUUGCCGAAAUGUCGGCCAUUGUUAUUAGCUGUAUACGGUUGUUUGUCUCAUCUCGUGCAGAAACACUUCUGAGCUGUUGAUGUUCAGGUUGUAGACAGAGAUCCCUUUGCCCAACUGUUGCAGAAAUUGAGAACACGACAAAGUCAGAGCUUCAUGGCUGUUGUAUCAUUACUGGGUUCUGUUGCAGCCAGCUGGGGAAAGGUGUGAUCGAGUCAAGUUGAGCUGUAGCUGCUGCAUGCAGUUUAUCAAGCUGGGUUAAAGUGUCGCUACAGGAAGACUUCUUGAAUUGGAGUUCAUGAUCAGUUUGAUAUUUGAGCUGAUAUGGUGUUGCUGUUUGGUGUUACAGUGAUUUUGCAGUCCCUUUCCAGUUGAGACAUGCUCUCAAAUGGAGCUUGUACAGACUUGCAAUUCAACAUCAUACUUCAAUGUGUCAUUUGCUUAUGUUGGUGUCCGUGCAGUAUAUGCAGUGUUGAACAGUUGGGUAAAAUAGUCAAUGUUGCCUGAUGGCUGUCGGUCUUAUUUUAUCGGCUGCAUUUUGUCGAUAUAUCGUCUCUUGCUACCUGUACCGGCGUUUAGUUUAAUCGUUUGCUGCCGUUCCAUAUACUUGAUCCAUUGGUAACACUGAGGAGAGGUUGCUGAAAUUCAAGACUCGUCAUUUCGUCAAUAAAUUAUGUAGAUGUAGAUAUAAAUUACAAGUGCAUAUCUGGGCUCCCUUCUUCAGUGGCCCCGUUUCCCUAAAUAACCAUUAACCAACGCC